CCUACGGGAGGCAGCAGUGGGGAAUAUUGCACAAUGGGGGAAACCCUGAUGCAGCGACGCCGCGUGGGUGAAGGAGCAUUUCGUUAUGUAAAGCUCUAUCAGCAGGGAAGAAAGUGACGGUACCUUAGUAAGAAGCCCCGGCUAAAUACGUGCCAGCCGCCGCGGUAAUACGUAGGGGGCCAGCGUUAUCCGGAUUUACGGGGUGUAAGGGGGGCGUAGACGGGAGUGCAAGUCUGGAGUGAAAGGCGGGGGCGCAACCCCCGGACUGCUCUGGAAACUGUACGGCUGGAGUGCAGGAGAGGUAGGUGGAAUUCCUGGUGUAGCGGUGAAAUGCGUAGAUAUUAGGAGGAACACCAGUGGCGAAGGCGGCUUACUGGACUGUAACUGACGUUGAGGCUCGAAAGCGUGGGGAGCAAACAGGAUUAGAUACCCUUGUAGUC
rnacentral:rRNA from 1 species